AUUGAACGCUGGCGGCAGGCCUAACACAUGCAAGUCGAGCGGAUGAAGGGAGCUUGCUCCUGGAUUCAGCGGCGGACGGGUGAGUAAUGCCUAGGAAUCUGCCUGGUAGUGGGGGAUAACGUCCGGAAACGGGCGCUAAUACCGCAUACGUCCUGAGGGAGAAAGUGGGGGAUCUUCGGACCUCACGCUAUCAGAUGAGCCUAGGUCGGAUUAGCUAGUUGGUGGGGUAAAGGCCUACCAAGGCGACGAUCCGUAACUGGUCUGAGAGGAUGAUCAGUCACACUGGAACUGAGACACGGUCCAGACUCCUGCGGGAGGCAGCAGUGGGGAAUAUUGGACAAUGGGCGAAAGCCUGAUCCAGCCAUGCCGCGUGUGUGAAGAAGGUCUUCGGAUUGUAAAGCACUUUAAGUUGUGAGGAAGGGCAGUAAGUUAAUACCUUGCUGUUUUGACGUUACCAACAGAAUAAGCACCGGCUAACUUCGUG
rnacentral:rRNA from 1 species